UCUAAACCCUAAUCCCCAUUCUAUCCUCUGUUCCCUCAGCCGCCGCCACAACUGCCCACUCUCGAUUCCGGCGAUUCCGGCGGCUACCGCCGGCGCGGUGCACACCGCGGAGCUCGCCUCGCUUGGGUCCAUCCUCCCCUCCGGCAAGAUUUUCCCUUCCCAGCCUCUACCGCUCGCCCAAAACCCACACCCGUCCUAGGGUUUCGGCCUCUGACAUCGCCUUCGUCGUCGACGCACCUCCGGCGGCUCUUCUCCGUCGUCUACAGCGCCCCACGCGCGACCUCGCUUCCUGAUGGUCAACCUCCAGCAGGGCAGCCUGGAGGACCCCCGCCCGCAGGAUCUACGGACGCGGCGCACCCUGCAGACGCCUGUCCUGGACGAGGGCGGCCACGGGGGCCUUGUCCUGCUCAACGACGGCCGCGGCGAAUGCCAGUGCUCCUCCUCCUUCUCGACCUCCAAGGAGGGGCGCCGGUACAGCACAAGCACGUCCAGCCCCUGAACCCACCUUCUGCACCCAUCCAGCGGCGUACAUGGCAUGCUCCUCCUUGAUUCAGUCGUCCCCAAUGGGCUUUCUUCGCUGGAGGAGGUGGAGCAGGAAGUCCAGCACCCCCCUUGUUCUCCUAUCAUCCAGUCGUGGACGAGCUCAAUGAUGGCUGCGUCCUGCCCUCCUAGCGUGUUUAGGGGUGGAUUCAGUUGCUGAGAUGAACAUGCGAGCUUGAUUAGUAACCGAUGGUUUUGUGGAUCUGUUGCUCUUGCACCGUUACACAUAAUUUAAUCAAGGAAUACCUCCAGAGUUGACGAUGAUUUUUAGCCUGAUAAGGUAGAAGUAUGGCUAACCGGAUGUUUAGCUUGGUGUGUGAAUUAAAAAGAACUGAUAGAUGGUUUGGCUGCCACUAGGAUUUUGAGGUCAAAUCUGUACCAGAACCAAAAUGAGCAUGACACUGUACCAGCACUCAGAACUAAGAAAUUGUCAGUCGUUGUGUAUUGCAUUUAUCUUUUCGUUUGGAUGCCAAAAAUUAUCUUCUUUGUGGCUUGAUUAACUUCCCUUUUUUCUGUUCAAGCCAUUUUGAAUGAGAUUACUACCAAUGACAAAUAGUAUGGAAGGCGAAACAACAAUUUACUAUAAUUACAUUGCCUUCACUUUAUCUAUAAUGUCACCAUCAACUGUUUCUAUGUUACCUUGCAGAUUCACUCAACAGAAGACACUUGUAAUAUUGUGCAAAUAAUUAGCUAGCAUUGUGAAAAAUCCUAUUUCUCAAAAAAAGUUAAGAGUGUGAUAUUUAGUUGAGAUAUGACAUAUCAAUGCUAAUAUAUUAGGACGUCCUAAUUGUGUAGUUCCUAGCUAAAUAUGUAAGGGCAUGUAAUGUUCGUAACAUAUUGAAGUGUGAUACUACACAAUAUUUGUUGUAUCUUUGGUUGGACUAUUUUUAUGUGUGUAAUAGUACAAACAAAUUGAGUGACUUCUACUUGAUCCAAUCCUUUAUUAGAAGUAGUAGUAUCUUACAAAUGUCUUUUCAGCUAGAUUAGUCGUAAGCCACAUAUGCCAGAUCUUUUUCAUGUGGAAUAUCAUAUCAGAUAGGACACAUAAUCCAUCAAGACAUAAUCAUCAUGAAAUUGGUCCAUUCCUUUUUUUCCUUUUGAGAAACAAUGCCUAGAAAUUUUCAUUAAUGUGCAAUAUUCAGCUGGGCUGCAUUUCUUAUCGAGUUUACUGUAGUGAUAGUGUAAAUUAAGCACAACAGAGUUUACUACCAACUCUAUUGAUCUAUGUUUGCUCAUCAUUCCUUUUUGUUGCCACCGGUUGUCCCUUUUCAGACUUUUGUUAAUUUGUUGCACUACUUUUGCAUCCUGGGAGUGAAAAAAAUGUAUAACUUGAUAAUGUGUAGCAAGCUACUUGUAGUUUAACCCACUGGUUGUAAUAUUUUAUAACUUGACAUAUUUUUCAUCAUGUGGCAGAUAUUAGUAUGGGAGCAGUUUCAAGAACAAAGACAUGCGUUUUGACAACAUUUUGGCAUGGACGGGUUGAUUUGCUGCUAUAAGUGUUGGAUGACCCCUAAUUGGUGUGUGGCAGCCUGACAAGAGUGGCGUGGCCUUGGUUGAUGGGGGUGGUGCUGGCUGCAGAGUAGCAUAGUGUUCUCCAAUACAUGCUUGUAAAUUAAUGUUUUUUGGGUCUUUUAUUUGCGCUCCUGUAUAAAGUGUACUUUUGGAUAUGUUGUAAUUUUCUUUUCUGAUGACAUGAGCAUAUACUUUUUGUCAAAUUCUUAUUGGCUUAAAUUUUCAUGGAAAA